rnacentral:rRNA from 1 species
GACGAAACGCUGGCGGCGUGGAUUAGGCAUGCAAGUCGAACGGUAUCAUCCUUUCGGGGGUGAGAGAGUGGCGAACUGGUGAGUAACACGUAGGCUAUCUAAUCCUCAAGACGGGGACAACCCAGGGAAACUUGGGCUAAUACCGGAUGUGAGCAACUUUUAGUUGUUUGAAAGGUGGCGUAAGCUGUCGCUUGGGGAUGAGCCUGCGUCCUAUUAGUUAGUUGGUGAGGUAACGGCUCACCUAGGCAAUGAUAGGUAGGCGGCCUUAACGGGUGGUCGCCCACACUGGGAUUGAGAUACGGCCCAGACUCCUACGGGAGGCAGCAGUCGAGAAUAGUCUACAAUGGUCGGAAGACUGAUAGUGCGACGCCGCGUGAACGAUGAAUCCCUUCGGGGUGUAAAGUUCUUUUAUAUGUGAGCAGUGCUUCUUAUAUUAACAGUAUGGGGAGAGAGAUAUUAGCAUAUGAAUAAGCAACGGCUAACUCCGUGCCAGCAGCCGAC